UACGAAGGGGGCUAGCGUUGCUCGGAAUCACUGGGCGUAAAGCGCACGUAGGCGGAUUGUUAAGUCAGGGGUGAAAUCCUGGAGCUCAACUCCAGAACUGCCUUUGAUACUGGCGAUCUUGAGUCCGGGAGAGGUGAGUGGAACUGCGAGUGUAGAGGUGAAAUUCGUAGAUAUUCGCAAGAACACCAGUGGCGAAGGCGGCUCACUGGCCCGGUACUGGACGCUGAGGUGCGAAAGCGUGGGGA
rnacentral:rRNA from 1 species